UACAGAGGGGGCAAGCGUUGUUCGGAAUUACUGGGCGUAAAGGGCGCGUAGGCGGCCUGCUAAGUCGAACGUGAAAUCCCCGGGCUCAACCCGGGAACUGCGUCCGAUACUGGCAGGCUUGAAUUCGGGAGAGGGAUGCGGAAUUCCAGGUGUAGCGGUGAAAUGCGUAGAUAUCUGGAGGAACACAGGUGGCGAAGGCGGCAUCCUGGACCGAAAUUGACGCUGAGGCGCGAAAGCCAGGGGAGCAAACGGG
rnacentral:rRNA from 1 species